GACAGAGGUGCCAAGCGUUAGGCGGAAUCACUGGGCUUAAAGCGUGUGUAGGCGGAUUUUUAAGUACCUUGUGAAAUCCCACAGCUCAACUGUGGAACUGCUCGGUAUACUGGAAAUCUUGAGCCACUUAGGGGCUGUCGGAACAAGCGGUGGAGCGGUGAAAUGCGUAGAUAUCGUAAGGAAGACCAGUGGCGAAGGCGGGUCUCUGGGCCGUAACUGACGCUGAGGAGCGAAAGCGUGGGGAGCGAACAGG
rnacentral:rRNA from 1 species